CUCUCAGUGCUGCUCAGUGCUGGUAAACUAAAUACAGCAGAUCAGUCUAUGCAAGCAGAAGUGCCCGGAGAUGCUGGACCAAAAGAUUGAAAUAAUUCAUAUUUUUUUUUCACCACUUGUGCCUGUUUUUAAAAACUUGCUCAGUUUUUUCAGGACCCCAAAACAACACCCAUUCUCUCUGUCUUGCAGGAGAACAAUCACAGGUUUCCAUCUUUACUGACCAGACAUCACCAUUGCAAUCUCCAUUGCCACCCAGCAUCUGAGAAAACUUUGCCCUGAAAGUCCAGAUUGGGAUUCAGUAAAGAAGAAAAAUGAGAAAACAUGUUUUGCUGUGCAUAACCCACAACUCAGCGGUAAAAAAAGCAGAGGCAAGUGUCUAUCCCGUGGAAGUAAGUACAGAGGGAGAGGUGGAAGAGAAGUACAGCAAAGAAACCCUAUGCAGCACACAGAGCUCUGCACUGCAUUCCCUUUUGUACUACAGAACCUUGUUUCAAGAGAGAGUCUCAACAUGAAGAAUGACAAAUCAUCUCAAAUCAUACUUAGUCUUUAGAAAUUACUUACAACAAGUCAAUGCCCCCGACAAUAAAAGAAAGCAUUUAAUGUGGCA
rnacentral:lncRNA from 1 species